CUGCAGAGAUGGAGAACUGGACCUGUGGAGGCCUCCAGAAAGCAGAAGAUGGACAACAAUGUGACGUUUGGGAUUUGCGUUCCACUGAACCUGCCUAAGGUUUGACGAAGACCUCCCGGAAGCAAAUGCCCCGAUGAUCCCGGUCUUCAGGCGAAAACGUCAAGGAUAUUCAGCAUAUCGCAAAGGCAUGGCCUUGCACCUCAGGAGUGGACCCCGACCAAACAAAAAGGAGCCUUUUUUCAUAUCAGCUUCAUUUAUGGGAGCUCGAGAGUCCGUGUAAUUUUUUUGUCUUACCUGCCUUUUUAAAUGCCUCAGUGUGUGUCUUUUGACAGCAAAAAUAAAAAUAAAAAAA